UACGGAGGAUGCAAGCGUUAUCCGGAAUUAUUGGGCGUAAAGGGUCCGCAGGUGGCAGUGUAAGUCUGCUGUCAAAGAAUGAGGCUUAACCUCAUCAAGGCAGUGGAAACUACACAGCUAGAGUACGGUCGGGGUAGAAGGAAUUCCUGGUGUAGCGGUGAAAUGCGUAGAGAUCAGGAAGAACACCGGUGGCGAAAGCGGUCUGCUAGGCCUGUACUGACACUGAGGGACGAAAGCUAGGGGAGCGAAUGGG
rnacentral:rRNA from 1 species